AUUGAACGCUGGCGGCAUGCCUUACACAUGCAAGUCGAACGGCAGCACGGGGGCAACCCUGGUGGCGAGUGGCGAACGGGUGAGUAACAUAUCGGAACGUGCCCUGGAGUGGGGGAUAACUAGUCGAAAGACUAGCUAAUACCGCAUACGAUCUACGGAUGAAAGUGGGGGAUCGCAAGACCUCAUGCUCGUGGAGCGGCCGAUAUCUGAUUAGCUAGUUGGNGGGGUAAAGGCCUACCAAGGCAUCGAUCAGUAGCUGGUCUGAGAGGACGACCAGCCACACUGGGACUGAGACACGGCCCAGACUCCUACGGGAGGCAGCAGUGGGGAAUUUUGGACAAUGGGCGCAAGCCUGAUCCAGCAAUGCCGCGUGAGUGAAGAAGGCCU
rnacentral:rRNA from 1 species